UGAGAAAAGCAGAAGUGAGAACUUCUCGCCUUGCGACUAAACGUUGUCUGGCUCUACAUAUCAAGUUUCAGUAAUGAAAUAUAUUGUAGUGCGGAUUUGUGAAUCAAGUCCGCUUUCGUUUUUCUCU
rfam:Streptococcus sp. TA 26, complete genome.